AAGGUGAUGACAGCCAGGGGACUGCUGGAUUUGCAUGCUAAUUCCUCUAUUUUAGCAUCACACAGCCAAACUACAGGGCUGAAGCAGUGGCCUGUCUGGGUGGCUGUCGUGACUUCCCAAAUCCUAGAAGACCCCACCUGUGAGAAAUAAACUGACUGUCAGUGUUUGCAGCAAUAAAAAGGUUGAACACCCUCCUGAGAAGAGCACAAUUCCUGUAACGAAGGAGGAUGAGCGCUGAGACACACACCCCAGCUCUGCAGCAGCAGAUGUUGGGUUUCAUCAUGGCCCAGUCUGACAGGCAGCUGAGAGCAACCUGCAAAAAAAACCCAAACCAAAACACAGCAAAAACCAAAGAUCCCCAAAUCCAGGGGCUCAACGAUCCAUACAUCCAGAUUUCGGAGUGACUGGUCCUCCUCCUGCUUCACUUGUGCCCUGAGAUCAUCUCAAAGCUGGA
rnacentral:lncRNA from 1 species